rnacentral:lncRNA from 1 species
UCUUUUUUGCUGUCUGCAGGAAUCAAUGCAAGAUUAAGAAGGUAAGGCCUUUGGCUCGCCUCUCCGCGGUGAGGUACCCUUUCCAAAUUUUGCGCUGUAUUGGCAAAGCCAAAUGUGCCAAGUUAGAAACUAUUACAUUGCUAUUUUUGCGAUAUUUUUGGUUUGUAACUAGUCAAGAAAUGGUUUAACUUUUGCUACUAC